UUUCGCAAUGCCCGAAAGGGUGACGAAGCGACGCCGCGUGCGGGAAGAAGGCCUUCGGGUUGUAAACCGCCGUCGGGAGUUAAGAAAUGUAAGGAUGUUAAUAGCAUCUUUGCUUGACUAAGGCUCCGGAGGAAGCCACGGCUAACUCUGUGCCAGCAGCCGCGGUAAUACAGAGGCGGCAAGCGUUGUUCGGAAUUAUUGGGCGUAAAGAGCACGUAGGCGGCUAUGUAAGUCGGUUGUGAAAGCCUUCCGCUCAACGGGAGAACAGCAUCCGAUACUGCAUGGCUUGAGUGCGGGAGGGGAGAGUGGAACUUCUGGUGGAGCGGUGAAAUGCGUAGAUAUCAGAAGGAACGCCGGCGGCGAAAGCGGCUCUCUGGCCCAUAACUGACGCUGAGUGUGCGAAAGCUAGGGGAGCAAACGGGAUUAGAUACCCCGGUAGUCCUAGCCGUAAACGAUGGGCACUAAGUAGAGGGGUUUUAAUCUC
rnacentral:rRNA from 1 species